rnacentral:lncRNA from 1 species
AAUACUGACAACAGUUUUGAUAGGAAGUUUCAGCAUGGCUAUGAUAUGGAGCAGAGAUGUGAAAACUGGCAAGAGGAUAACCAUGUCGUCAUUGAUUUACACAUUGCUCUCUCUAAGAAAACCCAUCCAAAUGUAGAAGACAUAUAAGCUUUGGAGGGGGAAAAGAAAAUAUCUCAGUUCGCAGUUGCUCAGAAAAGACCUGUUAGUACUUGGCAGCUAAAUUCCCUACAGAGUCUGGGCAACAAAUGUGCCCAUCCAUGCUGUGCCCCACCCAGGCUCUGCACCAGCCCCCACUGGCAAGUUUUCUGGGACACAAAUGCACGGGAGCCAAAUAACAACAGUCUUUUAAUGACAGUAAGGCAAAAUACAGGAACUGGGACAUUUCUAACAGGUUCUCUACCAGCUUCUGGUACCAGACCCUCAUGUGGAGUGAAGCUACAAAGCCUAUGGAAAUACAUGAGGUGAUUUUAUUCUGCUUAGAAAAAAAGGCAAAGUGAAAGGCAUCUCCUCCCUACCCAAAGGAGCAAGUCAGGGAGUGAAGCCUGUGGGUGAAGAUCAAGACUGAGGGAAAAAGGGAGGUCCCUAGAUGAAUCAUGAGAAUCCCUUUUAAAACACACUCAGCUAUGGACAAGAGCAGAAAACUGCAGCAGCUCCAACUUCCACCCGUUGCCUCUCAAAGCCCAGUGGCACUUCCUGAGAGCUUGGGGCCUUCACUUCCGGAGAACAAACCAGAACUGUUUCCACUGUGAACUUUUCUACUUUAAGAUUAGAAUGAAAAGUAGAUAAUUGCAGAGUUGCCUUUUAACAUUAUCUAUGACCAUGUGCAGUGUCAUUAGUAGCCAAGGUUGCUAAUCUUAUGCAGUAAUUCUGUGCUUCCUUUGAAGAAACAACCUAGAGCAC